GACAGAGGUGGCAAGCGUUGUUCGGAAUUACUGGGCGUAAAGGGUCUGUAGGUGGUUUUUCAAGUCUUUGGUAAAACGCCGUGGCUCAACCAUGGUUUGGCCAAGGAGUCUGGGAGACUAGAGGCUGGGAGAGGGAAGCGGAAUUUCUGGUGUAGCGGUGAAAUGCGUAGAGAUCAGAAAGAAGGCCGGUGGCGAAGGCGGCUUCCUGGAACAGACCUGACACUGAGAGACGAAAGCGUGGGGAGCAAACAGG
rnacentral:rRNA from 1 species